AUUGAACGCUGGCGGCAGGCCUAACACAUGCAAGUCGAGCGGAUGAAGGGAGCUUGCUCCUGGAUUCAGCGGCGGACGGGUGAGUAAUGCCUAGGAAUCUGCCUGGUAGUGGGGGAUAACGUCCGGAAACGGGCGCUAAUACCGCAUACGUCCUGAGGGAGAAAGUGGGGGAUCUUCGGACCUCACGCUAUCAGAUGAGCCUAGGUCGGAUUAGCUAGUUGGUGGGGUAAAGGCCUACCAAGGCGACGAUCCGUAACUGGUCUGAGAGGAUGAUCAGUCACACGGGAACUGAAACACGGCCCGGCCUCCUCCGGAGGGAAGGAGUGGGGAAUUUUGGACAAGGGGGAAAAGCCGGAUCGAGCCUUGCGGUGGGGGGAAGGAGGGUCUUCGAAUUGAAAGCCACUUUAGUUUGGGAGGAAGGAAAGUAAUUUAAUCCCUUGUUGUUUGGAGUUACCAAAAAAAAAAACACCGGCCAACUUCGGGC
rnacentral:rRNA from 1 species